AUUAAAGUGGCAGAGAAAUGCGAGGAAUUUAAGCUUCCUUUAGGAAAACUUUUCCUUUAAUA
rnacentral:tRNA from 1 species